rnacentral:lncRNA from 1 species
GGGAACAAGAAUCAAAUCCGAUGUUUUUUCGUGGCUUGACUAGUUGCUCUGUUCUUCUUUCUCUGUUUUCCUCAUCGACCAAGGCUGCUAUGAACACUUAAUUGCUACUCCAAAUAGCUGAUGAAUGCCCCUUUCCCAAGAGGAGAAAUCGACAGAGCAAGGGAAUUUUGAAAUGGAAAAGAAGAGAGAAAGUGGAGAGAAGAGAGGAAAGAUGUGAAUGUUUGAGGUGUGUUUCUAAAAUGACCAG